GGAUCAGAUUGUCGGUCGUGCCUCGGUACGUACUGGCAUUAUUGGUUCCUACCUUCUGACGAACCAUGAUGUCAUUUAUUUGGUGUUGUGGGGAAUCAGGACUGUUACUUUGAAAAAAUUAGAGUGUUUAAAGCAGGCUCACGCUUGAAUACAUUAGCAUGGAAUAAUGAAAUAGGACGUUUGAUCUUAUUUUGUUGGUUUCUAGGAUCGACGUA
rnacentral:rRNA from 1 species